GGAAAUUGCCUUGCCAGGGGAGUUUAAGGCUCAGAUGUUUUCUACCAUCUCUGUGAAAUAGUUUUAGAGACUCUAUGAGCUUGUUACGUUUGUGGUAUGUUGGACCUUCUGUCCCAGACUGGUACAAUUUGUGAUCUGUCAAUUCAGUGUGUGCAGAUUGUGUAUAGCAGACAAGCAAAAUGUGGUCCUGUCAGCCCAAGACUUCAAAAACAGUCUGAGAUACAGGUUCUUAGGAAGACAAAGAUAGCAAAAGGGUCCAAGUCUGGUUAUAAGCAAGUGAGUUAGAACAUACCCUCUUACUUCUCCUCAGCCAGGU